GGCUCCUUGUAAAAUAUAAAUAAGGAGUCGGACCUGCCCGGUGAAUUUUUUUAACGGCCGCGGUACUCUGACCGUGCAAAGGUAGCAUAAUCAUUUGCCUUAUAAUUGAAGGCUUGUAUGAAUGGUUUGACAAGAAUGUAACUGUCUCUUUAUAAUUAAAUAGAAUUUUAUUUAUAGGUGAAGAAGCCUAUAUAAUAUUGAAAGACAAGAAGACCCUAUCGAGCUUAAAAGAAGUUAAUAAAUUUUAAAUUAAUAUAAAUUAGAAAAUUAAUUAUUAAAAAUUUUGGUUGGGGCGACUAAGGAACAAACAAAGCUUCCUUUAUUUUGUAAAGACAAACAGGUAUUGAUCCAAAAAUUUUGAUUAAAGAAAAUAGUUACCGUAGGGAUAACAGCAUUAUCUUUUUUGAGAGUUCUAAUCGAAAAAAAGGUUUGUGACCUCGAUGUUGGACCAGAAUAUCCUGAAGAUGCAGCCGUCUUUAAGGGUUGGUCUGUUCGACCAUUAAAAUUCU
rnacentral:rRNA from 1 species